GAUGAAGAACGUAGCGAAAUGCGAUAAGUAAUGUGAAUUGCAGAAUUCAGUGAAUCAUCGAAUCUUUGAACGCACAUUGCGCCCGCCAGUAUUCUGGCGGGCAUGCCUGUCUGAGCGUCAUUUCAACCCUCAUGCCCCUAGGGCGUGGUGUUGGGGAUCGGCCGAAGCCCGCGAGGGACGGCCGGCCCCUAAAUCUAGUGGCGGACCCGUCGUGGCCUCCUCUGCGAAGUAGUGAUAUUCCGCAUCGGAGAGCGAUGAGCCCCUGCCGUUAAACCCCCAACUUUCCAAGGUUGACCUCAGAUCAGGUAGGAAUACCCGCUGAACUUAAGCAUAUCAAUAAGCGGAGGA
rnacentral:misc_RNA from 1 species